rnacentral:rRNA from 1 species
AGAGUUUGAUCAUGGCUCAGAAUCAACGCUGGCGGCGUGCCUAACACAUGCAAGUCGAGCGAGAAAGGGGGGGCAACUCCCUGAGUAAAGCGGCGCACGGGUGAGUAACACGUGGGUAAUCUGCCCUGGAGUGGGGAAUAACACCGGGAAACCGGUGCUAAUACCGCAUACGAUAGCGAGGUCUGCGGAUCUUGCGAUGAAAGGAGCAAUUCGCUCCAGGAGGAGCCCGCGGCUGAUUAGCUAGUUGGUGAGGUAAUGGCUCACCAAGGCAACGAUCAGUAGCCGGUCUGAGAGGACGGUCGGCCACACUGGAACUGAGACACGGUCCAGACUCCUACGGGAGGCAGCAGUGGGGAAUUUUUGGCAAUGGGGGCAACCCUGACCAAGCAACGCCGCGUGGGUGAUGAAGUCUCUUGGGACGUAAAACCCUUUCGACGGGGAAGAAACCGCAAGGUUGACGGUACCCGUAGAAGAAGCCCCGGCUAACUCCGUGCCAGCAGCCGCGGUAAUACGGGGGGGGCGAGCGUUGUUCGGAAUUACUGGGCGUAAAGGGCGCGUAGGCGGUUCGCUAAGUUGGAUGUGAAAACUCUGGGCUCAACCCAGAGCCUGCAUCCAAAACUGGCGGGCUAGAGUUCUGGAGGGGGUAGCGGAAUUCCUGGUGUAGCGGUGAAAUGCGUAGAUAUCAGGAGGAACACCGGUGGCGAAGGCGGCUACCUGGACAGAAACUGACGCUGAGGCGCGAAAGCUAGGGGAGCAAACAGGAUUAGAUACCCUGGUAGUCCUAGCCCUAAACGAUGGAUACUUGGUGUGACUGGGAUUGAAUCCAGUCGUGCCGAAGCUAACGCAUUAAGUAUCCCGCCUGGGGAGUACGUCGCAAGGCUGAAACUCAAGGAAUUGACGGGGCCCGCACAAGCGGUGGAGUAUGUGGUUUAAUUCGACGCACGCGAAGAAUCUUUACCUGGGCUCGAACGGCUAGUGACAGGUGGCGAAAGUCGCUUC